UACGUAGGGUGCGAGCGUUAAUCGGAAUUACUGGGCGUAAAGGGUGCGCAGGCGGUCUCGUAAGCUGGGUGUGAAAGCCCCGGGCUUAACCUGGGAAUGGCAUUCAGGACUGCGAGGCUUUGAGUGUGGCAGAGGGAGGUGGAAUUCCACGUGUAGCAGUGAAAUGCGUAGAGAUGUGGAGGAACACCGAUGGCGAAGGCAGCCUCCUGGGCCAGCACUGACGCUCAUGCACGAAAGCCAGGGGAGCGAACGGG
rnacentral:rRNA from 1 species